rnacentral:rRNA from 1 species
UACGAAGGGGGCUAGCGUUGUUCGGAAUCACUGGGCGUAAAGCGCACGCAGGCGGAUUGAUAAGUCGGGGGUGAAAUCCCGGGGCUCAACCUCGGAAUUGCCUUCGAUACUGUCUGUCUUGAGUCCGGGAGAGGUGAGUGGAAUUCCUAGUGUAGAGGUGAAAUUCGUAGAUAUCGGGAGGAACACCAGUGGCGAAGGCGGUUGCCUGGAGCUUUGCUGACGCUGAGGCGCGAAAGCGUGGGGAGCGAUCCGG